GAUGAACGCUGGCGGCGUGCCUAAUACAUGCAAGUCGAGCGAACAGACGAGGAGCUUGCUCCUUGCUCGUGAGCGGCGGACGGGUGAGUCACACGUGUAUAACCUACCUAUCUUACUGGGAUCACUUGGGGAAACCGGCUCUUAUACCGGAUAAUCUACUGAACCGCAUGGUUCGAUAGUAAGUGUCGGUUGUUCUGUCACUUAUCGCUGGAUCUGCGCCGCAUUAGCUAGUUGGUAGGGUAACGGCUUACCAAGGCAACGAUGCGUAGCCGACCGGACAGGGUGAUCGGCGACACUGGAACUGAGACACGGACAAGAGUCCUACGGGAGGCAGCAGUAGGGAAUGUUAGGCAAUGGGCGAAAGCCUGACAGAGCAACGCCGCGUGAGUGAUGAAGGCCUUCGGAUCGUAAAACCCUCUUAUUGGGGAAGAACAAAUGUGGAAUGAAAUAAGCCCGUCGUGACGGUAACGAAUCAGAAAGCAACGGCUAACUACGUG
rnacentral:rRNA from 1 species